rnacentral:lncRNA from 1 species
CUCAUGGCAUGGGCUUGGUCUCCAGAGCUAGAAAUGAAGAUUCAUUGUAAAUAAACAUCCAGCAUGUGCAUUGAUAACAGCAAAAGUAACAAAAUACCACGGCCAACAUUCAGCCAAUAAAGAUUUACCUGCUGGCGAGCUUUCUGGAGUUCCUGCUCUAGUUGUGCAACCUCGAGCUUGUUGCUUUCUGGCUGUUGCACGUACUACUUCAGACAAACAGAAAAAACAUUAUCAGUGAUUCCGAACAAAUGAACAAUCCAGUAUUCCCUAUUCAGUGGAAAUGAUAAAUACCUUGUAUCACACAAGGCCUCCCGUGGGCGUCCCUGCGCACCGCGAUCGAUCGGCAUGGAGCGGAGAUGGCGCGGCCACCGCUCGCUACGGAAUGAGGUAGACGUGUAAAAUUGAAGUAAACUAAAUGACCAUCUAAAUUUAAGCUGGCCUAAUUAUUAGUUAGUUAGCUCAACAGUAAAUAAGUGUACAUUGCACUACAAAUAUUGCCAAAAGCUCAAAAUAACAGCAUCCGUAAACAUCAGCAACUCCACAUGAAGUGUGAUCUGGUCUGCAUGUUCUGAACAUAUUAGUAUCAUCAGUACAUAAAUAAGGAGGUCUGCAUUGAUGAAAACAAUGGGAUUUUUUAUUAUAUUACUUGAUAACUUGAACAAAAGGCAUAUGGAAAACCACGGGAAUUUUCAAAAUAUAACAUCUAUGUAAUUUAAUUCCAUAUGCUGCUCAACUUUUAGCCCACCGCAAUUUCUCCCUGCCAAAAAUCUCCACAACAACAAUACUAUCUUUUCUACCUUGAUACCUAGGAAAUAACACAAAUCAUCAGAUCAAUCAAAACCCACCCAUUUCCAAAUCCCAUUGACACACCAUGUUGUAGCAAAAGAGAUUUCAUCUAGAAAAAAAAGGGAACAACAAUCAAGAACACUACUUUGAGCUAAUUAAAUUCAUCAAUUCGUACCUAGCAAAAGAGUUGGGAUGUUCUCAGCAGUAAAGGACGCACACGUCAAUCGAUGAUCUGCUGCUGUUGCCCGGAACCGGAAACCCAUAUAGCCGGGCGUGCCCACACCACGCAUGUGCCGCCUCCUUGUACAGUCUCCAUCGUCGCGUGUAUGUAGAUCAUGUACAGAACGCACAGGCGGGCAGGCCAUCCUUGACCUUGGAUGCCAAGCCAAGGAACACAAAGUGGCUGGCCAGCAUCCCUCAUCGCAUCAGAGACAUGGCUAGGGUUUGUGAGGGAGGAGCUUCGGGGGUAUGGCCCAAAAUCAAGGUAAUUUACCGCAUCGGAGAGGAGGGUGGAAGGGGUGAGAGGGGAUGUGGCAUGUUGUAUGAAGAGGAAAGGAGGCACCACGGUGGGG